GUAGUCCACGCCGUAAACGAUGAUCACUAGGUGUCGGUUCCACAAUGGUGGGAUCGGUGUCGUAGCUAACGCGGUAAGUGAUCCGCCUGGGGAGUACGGUCGCAAGAUUAAAACUCAAAGAAAUUGACGGGGGUCCGCACAAGCGGUGGAACAUGUGGUUUAAUUCGACACUACGCGAGGAACCUUACCUAGGCUUGACAUGUAAUCGCUACUGGCGGAAACGUUGGGUUCUGCAGUUUACUGCAGACGGUUACACAGGUGCUGCAUGGCUGUCGUCAGCUCGUGUCGUGAGAUGUUGGGUUAAG
rnacentral:rRNA from 1 species